AAAGUGUUUGCAGAGACGUGAGUGGGAGUCAAUCUCACUUAUGUGACGGACACCUCUCUCACGGAGGCAUAUUUUGGGACCAAGAGCGUGUGCUCCGAGCAGAGCAGAAGUGGAGGCAGAUAAGGCGUACUGUUGACCAAGCGGACGACUCCGUGGUUCAUGAUGGAGGGGUAUGUUUGUUUGAGAGCGCUCUGGGACUGGAUCAUCUCCAUGCUCAUUACCCCCAGUGCCACUGGUAGCCGUCUGGUUACCAUGGCGACGGGAUGAAAAGGCCACCCCGGGACCUGACCUGACGUGGUGAAGACGUUCCCAGCCAGACCACACAUAGGAGAGGAAGACAUGGACGUUUACAAAGUAAAAGUCCCCCUCCCUAAGUUUAUUGACUCACUGAUUGGCAAAUUAGAGGUACAACCAUCAGUGGGCUGGACACAAAUCAUGGCAAGGUAUUUCCUUUGACUGGACCUGGGAUAAAUCCCUGCUCUCAGAGGGACCUUCUGCUCCCAUAUUCAUGUUUCUCUUCUCUCUCCCCAAAGAAAAUGUAUUAACACAGCAGGAGUGUGUGUGUGUGUGUGUGUGUGUGUGUGUGUGUGUGUGUGUGUGUGUGUGUGUGUGUGUGUGUGUGUGUGUGUGUGUGUGUGUGAUUGACUCUUGCUCUCCGGGUGUGAU